ACGUAGGGUGCAAGCGUUGUCCGGAAUUAUUGGGCGUAAAGAGCUCGUAGGCGGUUUGUUGCGUCGGCUGUGAAAUCCCGGGGCUCAACCCCGGAACUGCCCUUGAAACUGGAGAGCUAGAAUCUUGGAGAGGCGAGUGGAAUUCCGAGUGUAGAGGUGAAAUUCGUAGAUAUUCGGAAGAACACCAGUGGCGAAGGCGACUCGCUGGACAAGUAUUGACGCUGAGGUGCGAAAGCGUGGGGAGCAAACAGGA
rnacentral:rRNA from 1 species